GCGGGAGUAGCUCAGUUGGCUAGAGCAUCUGUUUUCCAAACAGAGGGUCGCGAGUUCGAGUCUCGUCUCCCGCUCCA
rnacentral:tRNA from 1 species